AUUAAGAUACACAGGCAGGAGGGUGUGGGUGGGGAAAGAUGGUGGGCAGCCCAAGGCACCGUAGUCUGUCUUUCUGGCCCCUUGAGGUGGGAUCCCUCCACUGACUUUCAAGAGCUGCCUCCCCCUAAUUAAAGUAAAUGUUAAAAGUCUUCAACCCUCCCUUGGACACGACUGCCGUCUUCCCCUCCUCCCCUUUCAUCCUUCACAGCACAGGCUCUGGUUGGGCCAGUAGAGCUGGUUUUAUGUCACUUUCAUCCAACAUAAUACCUGCUCAAUAGCUCUGGCUGGGAAGUAGGGGCAGAGGUGAGAGCCAACAGCGAAGGUGGCCUCAGUGGUGCUGCUGUGGUCUUAAGUGGAGCCUAAGAAUUCGUGGGUGAUGCUAAUAAUGCUAUUUUAAGGACCAAUCUUUGAGAACCAGUGCUCCAAAUCAGCGUCUGGGCUCAGGCUCAGCAGCACCAUCUGGCCUCCAGUCUUCCAAACUGCAGGAAGAAAUGAGAGAAAAGGAACGAUUAUACAGCAUCAGUCAGCAUCAGAAACUUUCUAAAUCGAAGAAAACAAUCAGCCUUAUGUAUAUCUGCUGCAUCUGAGGGUUGUAUCUCAACAAGGAGAGAAGAAAAACACAUUUUCCUUUUGUAAAAUUCACCCUGGACACUGGGUGCAUGUACAACCCGAUGGCUUCAAUCAUGUGAUCCUACCAGCCUUGUCUCCCUCUUGCCCAACACCAUAAAUGCUUUUUUUUUUCCCCCUUCCUUUGAGAGGCUAGUCUGGGACUUAAAUCACUCUUUCUACCUUAAAAGCCUGUGCUCACUCCACAGAUGAUACUCCCUUACCCUCCCAGACCCUCGGUUUCCAUAUCUACCGAAUGAGAAAGAGGCUGUUAUUAUGAAACACACCACUAUGCAAACAAGGGAGAAAAUAUUAAUCAUUAAAGACAAGAUAUAUACCUUCA